rnacentral:rRNA from 1 species
GACGCGCGGCAUCGUGUGCCCCGCCCCAAGCCAGGCCCAAUAGUAUUAAGCGCAAAACGGGUGCAGUAACACGUGGGCAAUCUGCCCUUCACUCUGGGACAAGCCCUGGAAACGGGGUCUAAUACCGGAUAACACUCUGUCCUGCAUGGGACGGGGUUAAAAGCUCCGGCGGUGAAGGAUGAGCCCGCGGCCUAUCAGCUUGUUGGUGGGGUAAUGGCCUACCAAGGCGACGACGGGUAGCCGGCCUGAGAGGGCGACCGGCCACACUGGGACUGAGACACGGCCCAGACUCCUACGGGAGGCAGCAGUGGGGAAUAUUGCACAAUGGGCGAAAGCCUGAUGCAGCGACGCCGCGUGAGGGAUGACGGCCUUCGGGUUGUAAACCUCUUUCAGCAGGGAAGAAGCGCAAGUGACGGUACCUGCAGAAGAAGCACCGGCUAACUACGUGCCAGCAGCCGCGGUAAUACGUAGGGUGCGAGCGUUGUCCGGAAUUAUUGGGCGUAAAGAGCUCGUAGGCGGCUUGUCACGUCGGAUGUGAAAGCUCGGGGCUUAACCCCGAGUCUGCAUUCGAUACGGGCUAGCUAGAGUGU